rnacentral:rRNA from 1 species
UGGUGGGGUGACUUGUCUGCUUAAUUGCGAUAACGAACGAGACCUUAACCUGCUAAAUAGUCCGCAUUGCUCCGGCAGUGCGCUGGCUUCUUAGAGGGACUUUCGGCUCAAGCCGAAGGAAGUUUGAGGCAAUAACA